rnacentral:tRNA from 1 species
UGGUGUAGCUCAAUUGGCAGAGCUUCUGAUUUGUAAUCAGAUGGUUGCGGGUUCGAGUCCCAUCACC